AGGACGAACGCUGGCGGCGCGCUUAACACAUGCAAGUCGAGCGAGAACCAGUCCUUCGGGACUGGGGACAGCGGCGAACGGGUGAGUAACACGUGGGUAAUCUGCCCUCGAUUCUGGGAUAGCCCGGGGAAACCCGGAUUAAUACCGGAUAGCCUCUCGAGCUUUCGAGCUCGUGAGAAAAGGUGCUUCGGCCUCCGAUCGAGGAUGAGCCCGCGGCGGAUUAGCUUGGUUGGUGGGUAAUGGCCUACCAAGGCGACGAUCCGUAGCUGGUCUGAGAGGACGAUCAGCCACACUGGGACUGAGACACGGCCCAGACUCCUACGGGAGCAGCAGGUGGGAAUCUUGCGCAAGUGGGACGGAAGCCGUGACCGCGAGGCGACGCCGCGGUAGGGGGAAGAACGGGCCGUUCGGGUUACGUAAACCGUUC
rnacentral:rRNA from 1 species